rnacentral:rRNA from 1 species
CCUACGGGAGGCAGCAGUGAGGCAUAUUGGUCAAUGGCCGGAAGGCUGAACCAGCCAAGCCGCGUGAAGGACGAAGGUGCCAAGCCUUGUAAACUUCUUUUGUCAAGGGACACAAUCAGGCUCGAGCGCCUGACCGCGGGUACUUGAAGAAACAGCAUCGGCUAACUCCGUGCCAGCAGCCGCGGUAAUCCGGCGGAUGCGAGCGUUAUCCGGCUUUAUGGGGUUUAAAGGGUGCGUAGGCGGCCUGUUAAGUCAGCGGUAAAAGCCCGGUGAUAAACCCCGGGGAGCCGUGGACACGGGUGGUCUGGAGAUGUCGAGAGGGAUGCGGAAUGCGCAGUGUAGCGGAGAAAUGCGUAGAUAGUGCGCAGAACUCCGAUUGCGAAGGCAGCAUACCGGCGGCGAUCUGACGCUGAGGCACGAAAGCGUGGGUAUCGAACAGGAUUAGAUACCCCAGUAGUC